AGUCUAGGUCCUCUCUUCGACAGCUGGUCAAACAAGGAAUCCCAAGGUGUAUGAUGGGUGUCUUCCGUAUUAUCUCGUGCCGCUGAACAAUAGGCGAGAGAAUAACAUGCUAGGCUUUUUGCAGAAAGACAGGCUAGAUAGCUUGGUUUCCAGUAAUUUAAAAGCCAACUUAUUUUUUUGAACUUCAAUCUAGAAAACGAGUUGAUGUGACAAGGACUUGAUGGAGGCGAAAAGCGGAGACUUGCGAUAUGACGAAACUGCUGUUCAAGAAAUCUAGGUGCUGUGUCACGCGCGCUCGGCAACACAUUAAAAUAACAACCUUUACACCGGCCCAAUACGUCAUCUAUGAACCGUAACAUCGGCUAUGAAAAUAAAGAACCCAGUACGCGAUAUCAGAAUGAAAUAGGGCUUACUGAAAGGCAGUGACUGCGACGUUUAUUCACCAGCACCCAAAGACAAGUUUUGCGCAAAAUGGCCGGAUUUUUCGAUAUCUGUUUGCACAGCCUCACGCUGAAAUUUGCCUCUAACGCAAUCCACUCUGUAGAAAAAUUUUUAUGGGAGAGACGCAAGGUAUAAAAAACAUGCGUCCCCUCUCGAAUGAAAAAAAAAUCAUUUUACAACUCUGUUCAGCAGAGACCCCAUUCUUCUCUUGGUCGCCUUAGUGAGCUACUAGAAUGUACAGCCCUACAAUUGAAUCUGAAAAAAUUGAGAGAAUUUACCUGCUCUCUGAUUAUGCGCCUCAAAGAACGGAAACAUCGAAUUGGCUGCAAAGACAAGAGUUGAAAGGGUUGGCCGCAAUGCAUACCACCAUGACAUCACUCUAUCCAAAGGAACAUGAGUCUGAUUGGCUAGAAGAUUUUUGGUGAGCUCAGUUGUACCGCUAAUUUUACUACUACUCUUUUUUCCCACUUCAAUCAAACUGCACCGUAUAUUUAGUGUGCUUGGCAGACAGCCAUUGACAGGACACAUUUUAUGGGUCAACUCAGAAAAUAGGGUUUGCACAAAGCAACCAAAUUCUUACACAAAAAUAUUCAUUAUAACAGAAUUUCUCUCAAAAAUACAUGUUUUUCUUACUACAUCUAGAUCACGAUUAUGACCAGGAUAUGAUCCUUUGUUGUGCAUGAUUUUAGCGGCCGUAGCUAAAGUGAAACUCAUCCUACGAUGCAUUCACCAUAAUCGCAAUCAGGAUAUGGCUUGUUGUUCGACAGAUCGCUAUAAAUAGAUAAGAUGUUAGUGCAAAAGAGAAACAUAAACACCAAAACUGGCUAAACUACUUACCAUAAUUUCAGAUUGUUAACGAAAUCGGGAGGAGGACAUUGCAAGGCUAGGUUAUUGCUCGAAAUGUUACUUUAAAGAUAAAAAAAUUAGAUUAGUUUCACUGGAAUUUAGGAGAAUAGAUGCAGGUUAAUGAAAAAGAGAUGCAGACUAAGAACUCAAGCAGAGAAGGAACAUACAUAUAUUCUAGAGUAUCCGACUCACUAAUUAUAGAUGGAAUCGCUUGACUGAGUUCGUUGUCGGACAAAUCACUGUACUCAAAAUUAUUAGUUGACAAGCUAUUUAGAUAAAAAAAUCACUAUCUAGAGGCGUACAGUAUAGACACACUUGUGCUGAUAUUUGGGAAUGGCCCACUUAGAUCAUUGUGUGAUAAAUUUCUAAAUUUGAGACAAAGUUCCUAGAUGGUGAUUUAAAAUGAGAAAAAGUUCAGAAUCUCGAAAUAAACGAGGUACAAAAUACUAGAAAUUCAACUUACAAUGCUUUCAGUCUACUCAUGUUUCCUAAACUGUCCGACAUGGGUAUGUCUAAACUGUUCGAAUCAACUCGACUAUCUUCUCGUAAGUAUGUUUAUGUAUGUGGAAUUAUUAGAUCGUUGUUUACAUGUCAUACAGUUCUAUCAAUUUCUUGAUAUCUGGGAUCAAUCCAGACAACUUGUUGCAAUGUAGAUACCUAGAUAACAAAAAUUGGUACAGAAAGGUUGUACCAUUCUAGUCAGCAGUUUAUAAAAUAGUUUUGUUUGAUGUACAAAAAAGAAGAGUCUAAAACGACAUCAAGUUGAUUAUAGCAAAGACAUACAGGAAUCUCAAUUGUUUCAUUUCGCUCAUACCUGCAGGGAUUACUCCUGAUAACUCGUUUUCCGAAAGAUCCCUCAUGACCAAAGAUAGUCAGUAAAAAUUAUAUAAGCAUGACUAUGUGUUCAUAUUAGGCAGCCUUUUCAAUGGUUAAUUUUUAGAAAUCGCUGAUAUUUAGAGAUAGAAAACUAGCGUACAAUAGUUCCAGAAGCUUAAGUUCUUUAAUUGAAGAUGGGAUAAUGUCUUUAAUGUUAUUUCUUGACAUCGUGCUAAAAUUAUGUAUUAGACAGAGAACAAGACUAAAAAAUUUUGCUAUAAAGAUAGAAAAAGAAGGCCUGCACUAGACUGGUCGAAUGUGACUCAUUGAGAUCACUGAUUAUUUGGAAAGGAAACAUACAGGAAAUUCAAUGUUUUGAUCUCUAAAAUAGCAGGGUCGAUUUUUUUCAUAUUACAGUUGGUAAUUGACCUAGAGGAGAAAUUUUUGAAAAGAAUAAGAAUUUUUUUAGAAAAGUCCAAUGCAUAAUGAAGAAGGAUUUAGAAAAUGAGGGGAAAUGAAAAAUGCGUACAGAUCACUUAAUUUAGAAAGACUACUGAUGGAACUCGGAAAAGCGGCUGAAGACAUGUCUACUCCUUUUAGGACUCUGCAUAGGAAUUGUGUUUUGAGUUAGUAGAGAUUGUCGAGGACAAGCGCAGACGCAUUGAACAUUUCCUAGCUAUUUACAUUUUAUUUAUUGAAGAUUUUUUACUGUGUAUCAAAGAUCAAAAAUAGUUAAUACUGUCAAGGCUAUUACACCUUCCUUCGAAUUUUUGUAUUAGUGGUAGAAUUUUGUAUUUUAGACGUUACCAGGAAAUUCCAGUGAAAUUACAGUAGGAUUCAUCGUCGUCGUCUUCGAGAAUUUUCCAAGAAAUAUUAUCAUUUGUUAAUUCUGGAUAGGCAUCAAUCAUGUCGUUAAUAAAAGUGAUUUCUGGUUUUUUGUCACAAGUUGUCGUUGAGAUCACUAGAAUUAAAACAAGAAAAA